rnacentral:piRNA from 1 species
UGAAACUCUCCAUCUGCAUCUGCCUCAGC